rnacentral:rRNA from 1 species
UACGGAGGAUCCGAGCGUUAUCCGGAUUUAUUGGGUUUAAAGGGUGCGCAGGCGGGGGAUUAAGUCGGCGGUGAAAUUUUGCAGCUCAACUGUAAAAGUGCCUUCGAAACUGGUUUCCUUGAGUGUAGAUGAAGUAGGCGGAAUUUGUGGUGUAGCGGUGAAAUGCAUAGAUAUCACGAGGAACUCCGAUUGCGCAGGCAGCUUACUAAACUACUACUGACGCUCAUGCACGAAGGCGUGGGGAUCAAACAGGAUUAGAUACCCCCGUAGUCCCU